GUACCAAUGAAGUUCUCCUAACUCGAGGACUAAUUGCUCCUAACGAGAAGGAGAAAUCCAAGGACAUAAUUUUAAUAAAAAAAAUUAAUUUUAACUUAAUUACUAUAAUAGAAUUAUAUAUAGGCAAUUGAGUGUGAUGAUGAUCAAGUAGAUUGACCUUUUAAUUUCCUCCAUGUAAUCCUUAAUUUGCUACAUUAGGAGAGAAAAUUAUAAGAUGCCUUUAUUUUCAGUCUAA
rnacentral:misc_RNA from 1 species